CAGUAGCCGCGGUAAUACGUAGGGUGCGAGCGUUAAUCGGAAUUACUGGGCGUAAAGCGUGCGCAGGCGGUCACAUAAGACAGAUGUGAAAUCCCCGGGCUCAACCUGGGACCUGCAUUUGUGACUGUAUAGCUAGAGUACGGUAGAGGGGGAUGGAAUUCCGCGUGUAGCAGUGAAAUGCGUAGAUAUGCGGAGGAACACCGAUGGCGAAGGCAAUCCCCUGGACCUGUACUGACGCUCAUGCACGAAAGCGUGGGGAGCAAACAGGAUUAGAUACCCCUGUAGUCCCUGUCUCUUAUAU
rnacentral:rRNA from 1 species